ensembl:ncRNA K06H6.8 ncRNA
AGGCGUCUACUUUGAAAAAAUGCUGAAAAAUUCGUCGGCGGAUGUGUGGAUCCAGAACAUUCGGCUUUCAAUUCUGACCCUUCUCUUUGCUGGGAUCACCAUG